AUACGUAGGUGACAAGCGUUAUCCGGAUUUACUGGGUGUAAAGGGCGUGUAGGCGGUUUAGCAAGUCAGAAGUGAAAUUCCCGGGCUUAACGUGGGCGCUGCUUCUGAAACUGCUUUACUUGAGUGCUGGAGAGGAUAGUGGAAUUCCUAGUGUAGCGGUAAAAUGCGCAGAUAUUAGGAGGAACACCGGUGGCGAAGGCGGCUAUCUGGACAGUAACUGACGCUGAGGCGCGAAAGCACGGGGAGCAAACAGGAUUAGAUACCCUGGUAGUCCGUGCCGUAAACGAUGAAUACUAGGUGUAGGGGGUAUCGACUCCCUCUGUGCCGCAGUUAACACAUUAAGUAUUCCACCUGGGGAGUACGGCCGCAAGGUUGAAACUCAAAUGAAUUGACGGGG
rnacentral:rRNA from 1 species